rnacentral:guide_RNA from 1 species
AUAUUAUUUCAUCGAGGUAUUAUUGGUUAUGUUAUACUGUGAU